rnacentral:rRNA from 1 species
CCGCAAUGGGCGAAAGCCUGACGGAGCGACACCGCGUGGAGGAUGACGGCCUUUUGGUUGUAAACUCCGUUUUCUGGGGGAAUAAAUGAUGAAGGUACCCCAGGAAUAAGCACCGGCUAACUACGUGCCAGCAGCCGCGGUAAUACGUAGGGUGCAAGCGUUAUCCGGAAUCAUUGGGCGUAAAGAGUUCGUAGGUGGCUUUGAAAGUUCGUGGUUAAAUCCGGUCGCUCAACGAUCGAAUCGCUGCGAAAACUCCAAAGCUAGAGAAUGGCAGGGGCAACUGGAAUGUCGCAUGUAGGGGUAAAAUCCGUUGAUAUGCGAUGGAACACCAAAAGCGAAGGCAGGUUGCUGGGCCAUUUCUGACACUGAGGAACGAAAGCGUGGGGAGCAAACAGGAUUAGAUACCCUGGUAGUCCACGCCCUAAACGAUGGAUACUCGAUGUGGGAGGGAUUCGACCCCCUUCUGUGUCUAAGCUAACGCGUUAAGUAUCCCGCCUGGGGAGUACGGUCGCAAGAUUA